rnacentral:rRNA from 1 species
UUGAACGCUGGCGGCAUGCUUUACACAUGCAAGUCGAACGGCAGCGGGGGCUUCGGCCCGCCGGCGAGUGGCGAACGGGUGGGUAAUGCAUCGGAACGUACCCAGUCGUGGGGGAUAACUACGCGAAAGCUUGGCUAAUACCGCAUACGCCCUGAGGGGGAAAGCGGGGGACCUUCGGGCCUCGCGCGAUUGGAGCGGCUGAUGUCGGAUUAGCUAGUUGGUGGGGUAAAGGCCUACCAAGGCGACGAUCCGUAGCUGGUCUGAGAGGAUGAUCCGCCACACUGGGACUGAGACACGGCCCAGACUCCUACGGGAGGCAGCAGUGGGGAAUUUUGGACAAUGGGGGCAACCCUGAUCCAGCCAUGCCGCGUGAGUGAAGAAGGCCUUCGGGUUGUAAAGCUCUUUCAGACGGAAAGAAAUCGGGUGGGUGAAUAGCGCGCCUGGAUGACGGUACUGUAAGAAGAAGCACCGGCUAACUACGU